rnacentral:lncRNA from 1 species
CUGAAGCCUUAUGUUCUUGACUGGGACAGAGGCCUGUGUAGUCACUGGGAAGAAGUAGGCACUCUGAGGCAUGGCUCACCCURUCCUAGGAGAGAUGCUCCAGCUGUAUUUCAUGCCAGGCAGGGUGAAAAGCUCCCUGUGUGAUGGGCACAUUCAAGGAAGAAGUCUAGAGCUGCCUCUGUUAUCACCACAAACACCAUGGCAGCAGGCAAAGAUGGGUGGUAGCCGUGACAACGCGGAGGAACUCUUAGACUUCCCUUCGGAGCUGGAGGCAGAUCCGAGCAGCUGUGUUUGGCAUGGCGGGGUCGGGCGGUUGGAGCAGGAGACGAGACGGC